AAGCACCUCUGUGGCCCAGCAAUUUUGUUAGUCCGGCAAUCAAUAGUACCCAGUGCGCGCUUGGUACUGUUAAGUUUUUUUUUUUUUUCGCCGAGACCACUAUUAUUCGAAACCGCACAUUUUUUUAUCCAAUGAUCGAAAAUCUAAUAGUACAAAGUGCUUUAUACUAUUAAUAGCCUAGAGUUCGUUUCGAAUUACAGGAAGAUUGCAUUAUAUAUGGUGAGAAAAUUUAUUUGUUUCCGCAUAAUAUUGCAUUUCGCAUAUCGCGAUAAGUCGGUUACGAUAUAUUUUUUGUGAUCCCACCGAAAAACGCAGAAAUAUAUUCCUAUAUGCUUUUAUCCCAAUUUUAUUUUAUCUAAUAGCGUUAGAUAGAUCUCAAUACAAAACUAAGCGCUAAUAUACUAUUAAUAGUACCAAACGUUUUGUUCUAUUAGGUUUUCGAACCCUAAAUGGAGAGACAUGCGGCUAGGAUGAUAGUAAUUUUCUAAGAUUUAGUGGGUAGUUAAUUGAAUAGUAUGAUCUAACAUAUAAAAAUGAUCAAAAGAAUAAAUCUAACGGCGGAAAAUUUAAUAGAACCAAAUGCUGGGUGCUACCAUCAAUAGUAAAGUAACCGGACUCUACAAAUUGUAUGAUAUUUGGCAUAAAAAUUUACAAAAAAUUUAUAUUUUCACAAAACCUGAUCACCUUGUAUGAUGUUAUACACCAAACCUUUUUUAAAACUGAUCAAAAUAUUCCUACUCUCUCUCCUCGCCCUCCUCCUCCACCGUCUACACGUCACUGCCACACUCGACCCCAUACCUCACUCACAUCGCCACUACUGCUGACGGCGACGGCGCGGGCUCUAACGCCGCACGGGAUGUGAAGGUGAGGGUGUGGGUAGCUGCACAGUUCGAGACGACGGGACGCGGCAGGGUGCCGGAGCGAGAUGAGGUGAGUAGGCUGGGCAUGCUGUUUCG
rnacentral:lncRNA from 1 species